rnacentral:rRNA from 1 species
AUACGGAGGGGGCAAGCGUUGUUCGGAAUUAUUGGGCGUAAAGAGUAUGUAGGCGGCUGGAUAAGUCAGGCGUGUAAGCCCACGGCUCAACCGUGGAAUUGCGUUUGAAACUAUUCGGCUUGAGUGCAGGAGAGGAAGACGGAAUUCCCAGUGUAGCGGUGAAAUGCAUUGAUAUUGGGAAGAACACCGGUGGCGAAGGCGGCCUUCUGGUCUGUUACUGACGCUGAGAUACGAAAGCCAGGGGAGCAAAGGGGAGUAGAAACCCCUGUAGUCC